UGGCGAACGGGUGAGUAACACGUGGGUGAUCUGCCCUGCACUCUGGGAUAAGCCUGGGAAACUGGGUCUAAUACCGGAUAGGACCAUGCUUUAGUGUGUGUGGUGGAAAGUUUUUUCGGUGUAGGAUGAGCCCGCGGCCUAUCAGCUUGUUGGUGGGGGUAAUGGCCUACCAAGGCGGCGACGGGUAGCCGGACUGAGAGGUUGGUCGGCCACAUUGGGACUGAGAUACGGCCCAG
rnacentral:rRNA from 1 species